CCCUCUCUCUAUUACCACCGCCAUCUUGUCUCUCCCUCUCUCUAUUACCACCGACGAUUUUCUUUCUUUAAUCAUCAAUCAGACCAACUAAGAUCUUGUCUUUCCCUCUCUCUAUUACCACCGACGAUCUUGUCUCACCCUCUCUCUAUUACCACCUUUCGAUCUUCUCUCUUUAUUCAUCAAUCUGACCACCAACGAUAUUGUUUCUUUAUUCCGACCACAGACAGAUCUUGUUUCUCUAUUAUAAGAUCCCGAUUCAGAUGUGACGAAUCCGCUGUUUCUUCCGAUUAUCUUAGUGAAGCUGAAGAAUAUGGAGGCUCGCGCUGUUGAUGAUGUGUUUAAGGACUUUUGGGAUCGAAGAGCUGAUCUCACCAAGACUUUCAUUUUAUUCCAUUGGGUUUUCUUGAUUCCUGAGAUCAUAAAGUUCACACCUUUCUUCAGAAGAAGACGAAGAGAUCGUGUUUGUUUAAGAUGUUUUGUUGGAGAAGAACUUCAAAUCUUUAGCUGGAAAGGGAUUUUAACAGAUCGCAAACAUCUAUUGAGAAUUGGGUCCGUACUUCACCAAAGCUAAAAGAAAUUAUGAAAAAGAUUCUUUACCUGGGGAACACAUUGAACCAAGGAACUGCGAGGGGCGCUGCAGUGGGAUUCAAGUUGGACAGUUUAUCAAAACUAAGCGAUAUACAUGCUGCUAACAGGAAGAUGACUCUCAUGCACUAUCUUUGCAAGUUCCUUGCUUGAAAGGGAUCAGAUCUGCUGGACUUCCCUAAGGAUAUUGAGAGUCUUGAAAAGUAUUCUUCAAAGAUACAAUUGAAGUCGUUGGCUGAGGAAAUGCAAGCUAUAAUCAAAGGACUGGAGAAACUGAUCAACCAAUAGCUCACUGCAUCUGAAAAGAAAAGGUAAACUAUUUGCUCAGGUUUUGAACGCCCGACAGCAAUGCCAUUUAGCCAUUUACAUAUUUAAAAGUUAAGUAUUUAUAAAUAUGUACUCUUGUGUGAUUACCUUUACAACUGUGUUCUUAUUUAACUCUCUUAUUAUUCAGGAGAUGCUGGAAACAACAUUAUAAGUUUGAGAAAGGACAUUGAGGAAUGAAACAUAGCUACCGCUUGGAAGUCACAAAACAAAACAUAACAGGCGCUUGGAUUCAGAAACAACCUUUAGCAUUGGAACAACAUGCAUAGUGUAUACUGAAGUUGAAAAAAGGGUUAUAACCUCAUCAAGGGAACCGCUGAGCAAGUCGGCAGCAGAUUCAGGAACAAUGGCGCUAGCAAUCCAGUCAAGUAGCAUUAGGCCUGUAGGAAACAGUGGGAUUACUGAUGGAGAAAUUUUCUAUGUUUCUCCACAUACCAAGAGAAAAAACAUUUGAAAACUUCCUCGCCAACUUAUCAAGGUAUGGAGCACCUUGACUUCUACACGACAUUCUGUCCGGAAUGGUUUGAGGUCAGCCACAGGAAUGAGUUCCAUGAUCAAUAGUAUUUCUGUAGCGAUAAAGUUUGUGAGUUCUGGUUUUAGGAAGUAUGAUAAGAAAAUAGAAUGAAAGGAACGAUAUAUAAACCUGAGGAUUUCGAUAAUAUCAACCGUUUAGUUAUAGGAGUUGUGCUAAAAUAUCGGAUAGUGGGUUUGCACGUUGAGAAAAUAGAUUUGAUUUGUGGAAUUUAAAUUGAUUCCAAUUAUAUAUCCCUUUAUAAUAGGAUAUUAAUUUGUUGUGGAAGGUGGUUAGGAUAAUAGAUUUUGUAAUUCGAAUAUUUAGUUG